rnacentral:rRNA from 1 species
GACGAACGCUGGCGGCGUGCCUAAUACAUGCAAGUAGAACGCUGAAGGAGGAGCUUGCUUCUCCGGAUGAGUUGCGAACGGGUGAGUAACGCGUAGGUAACCUGCCUGGUAGCGGGGGAUAACUAUUGGAAACGAUAGCUAAUACCGCAUAAGAGUAGAUGUCGCAUGACAUUUGCUUAAAAGGUGCAACUGCACCACUACCAGAUGGACCUGCGUUGUAUUAGCUAGUUGGUGAGGUAACGGCUCACCAAGGCAACGAUACAUAGCCGACCUGAGAGGGUGAUCGGCCACACUGGGACUGAGACACGGCCCAGACUCCUACGGGAGGCAGCAGUAGGGAAUCUUCGGCAAUGGACGGAAGUCUGACCGAGCAACGCCGCGUGAGUGAAGAAGGUUUUCGGAUCGUAAAGCUCUGUUGUAAGAGAAGAACGAGUGUGAGGGUGGAAAGUUCACACUGUGACGGUAUCUUACCAGAAAGGGACGGCUAACUACGUG